rnacentral:tRNA from 1 species
GCGUGGUAGUUCAAUGGUAGAGCAUGUGCUUAGCAUGCAUGGGACCCUGGAUUCAAUCCCCAGGAAGCCACCCA